rnacentral:rRNA from 1 species
GACGAACGCUGGCGGCGUGCCUAACACAUGCAAGUCGAACGGAAAGGCUCUGCUUUUGUGGGGUGCUCGAGUGGCGAACGGGUGAGUAACACGUGAGUAACCUGCCCUUGACUUUGGGAUAACUUCAGGAAACUGGGGCUAAUACCGGAUAGGAGCUCCUGCUGCAUGGUGGGGGUUGGAAAGUUUCGGCGGUUGGGGAUGGACUCGCGGCUUAUCAGCUUGUUGGUGGGGUAGUGGCUUACCAAGGCUUUGACGGGUAGCCGGCCUGAGAGGGUGACCGGCCACAUUGGGACUGAGAUACGGCCCAGACUCCUACGGGAGGCAGCAGUGGGGAAUAUUGCACAAUGGGCGGAAGCCUGAUGCAGCAACGCCGCGUGCGGGAUGACGGCCUUCGGGUUGUAAACCGCUUUCGCCUGUGACGAAGCGUGAGUGACGGUAAUGGGUAAAGAAGCACCGGCUAACUACGUG